ACUUCAUGUCAUUUUGUUCCACUGCAACUAUUAUGCAGCUGCAAUUUCUAAUUUAUCAUGCUUUUAAUUUAUAAGAAGGAAAAUUGGAUAUUCUUUUUAAAUGAAAAUACCAAAUGGAGCAAAAAAAAAAUAAGGCCAGUAGAGUUAUCUCCACAGGUGGCACUACUGAGUAAACAAUGCUACCAGUCUGCUGACUACAAUAUUACACAGUAUAUUCAGGGAAUAUUUGGUUUAAAUCAAUGUUUUAACUGUUAUUAUAUGAAAAUUAUUUUUUAACAGGAAGAAAUGUUUAUGGAUAAUUAAUUAAUUUAGUUAUUAUUAUAGAUCAUUAUACCUUUUAUUGAAACAGCAGAACAUUAUAUCGAAAAUUUAGCAAAAAUACACAUAUUAAGCAGCUUUUUGUUAUUUAUAGGUACUUUUAUUGUAACUUCUUCUUUUGUUAAUUCUGAUAUCUUUAACUACAUUUAUCACUUAGUCUAAUUCUUUUCAAUAUUAAUAUGAUUUUCAAAUUUUCAACAACAAAAAGUAGCAUCUUUAAUAAUGGGAAUUGCAUGUCUAGUCCAAGUCUAUUAUAACUUUUUAGAAUUUUUAUUUUUAGAAUUGUGAUUAGAGCCAGUCUAUAAUUAUCUAAGGUCCAAUAUCAUAUGAUAAUAUUAAAAUCUGUAAAUUAGACUGGCAUUUGUCACAAGAACAUAAAUUUUUAAAAAUCACAUUUUUUUUCAAUUUUGUGACAAGUUCUUUAUUAUCAGUCUUGCGGCUAGUCUAGUCUAGUCCACCUACUUAUGAUGGUCUUUGUCUAAUAUUUACCCAUUUCAACAAAAUAAACUGGAAUGUACAAGUAUAUAAAAUUUCUAUGUUCAAGGUUAAAUGUAAAGAUUUAGGUUUUCCCUUUAGGAGUCUUACAGAAUAUUGACAUAUAUUAUAUUUGCAAUGUUCAGGGAGAUUAUUUGAGCUUAUCAUACUUUAACUUAUGGAAAAUAUAUCAGCUUUUACAUAUUGUUACAUGCUAUAUUACAUAAUAUAUAAAUAACUUCUCCAACUACUAUGAAGCAAAAAAAAGUAUAAACAGUACUGUCAACUGAUGAAUGCAUCAGAGACAUUUUUUGGCCUCAUUAUUCAUCACAAUGUACAGUUUCAAUUUUAGAUCAUUAUACCCAAUAAUAAACUAUGAAAAAAUUAUGGACAUCUAAGUGUUAAAUUAAAUCUAUUUUUCAGGUAUAGCAUCAUAUGUGUAUAUAAAGUAUCAGCACACAUGAAUGAAUUGAGACAUGUUUAGUGACCCAAUGUAUUGUGUUCAAAGGCUCCAUCCAACAGUUCAAAGACAUGUCAUAGCAGUGGAGCAAAUGGUGGCAAAUGAUGGCUUUGUGGUGGUUAGUGAAAAACUGUGGCAAUCUACAUUGGUGGUGGCAAACACUGACAGAAAAUUUCUGGACCAGCAGUGACAUAAGUUGAAAAUAAUGACAUAUUUUACACUGUACUGAAGAUGUAAUUGCGAAAAUUAUUCAAGAAAUAAUAUUAUCUCAUUCAGUGAUUUGUCGCUGAAUAAAUCAUUGUUUGGAGUUCAGAUGCGAAGGAAUUAUAUCACGAGGGCGCAACAUUACUGAAAGGAUUUUCUUCAAACUUUCACAAAUGAACAAUCUUGAUGGGUAGAUACAACUACAAUUACAAUGCAUUCAAAAUCAGUGGCACAGAAACUGGUAGGGGACUAUGUAUUGCCUUGCAAUACUUCAGCACCUUGUUGUUUUAUAUGUGUAACCUGUAAAUGAUUAUUGAUGUGUUUUAUAAAGUUAAGAAGUCCUA